UCGUCACACUAUCAUUAACUGAAUCCAUAGGUUAAUGAGGCGAACCGGGGGAACUGAAACAUCUAAGUACCCCGAGGAAAAGAAAUCAACCGAGAUUCCCCCAGUAGCGGCGAGCGAACGGGGAGGAGCCCAGAGCCUGAAUCAGCAUGUGUGUUAGUGGAAGCGUCUGGAAAGGCGCGCGAUACAGGGUGACAGCCCCGUACACAAAAGCGCAUGUGCUGUGAGCUCGAUGAGUAGGGCGGGACACGUGGUAUCCUGUCUGAAUAUGGGGGGACCAUCCUCCAAGGCUAAAUACUCCUGACUGACCGAUAGUGAACCAGUACCGUGAGGGAAAGGCGAAAAGAACCCCGGCGAGGGGAGUGAAAAAGAACCUGAAACCGUGUACGUAC
rnacentral:rRNA from 1 species